rnacentral:rRNA from 1 species
GACAGAGGUGCCAAGCGUUAGGCGGAAUCACUGGGCUUAAAGCGUGUGUAGGUGGAUUUGUAAGUACCUUGUGAAAUCCCAUGGCUCAACCAUGGAACUGCUCGGUAUACUGCGAAUCUUGAGCCACUUAGGGGCUACCGGAACAAAUGGUGGAGUGGUGAAAUGCGUAGAUAUCAUUUGGAACGCCAAUGGUGAAAACAGGUAGCUGGGAGUGUGCUGACACUGAGGCACGAAGGCCAGGGGAGCAAACGGG